CCUACGGGAGGCAGCAGUGGGGGAUAUUGGACAAUGGGGGGAACCCUGAUCCAGCGACGCCGCGUGAGUGAAGAAGUAUUUCGGUAUGUAAAGCUCUGUCAGCAGGGAAGAAAGAAAUGACGGUACCUGACCACGAAGCCCCGGCUAACUACGUGCCAGCAGCCGCGGUAAUACGUAGGGGGCAAGCGUUAUCCGGAAUUACUGGGUGUAAAGGGAGCGUAGACGGUUAAGUAAGUCUGGAGUGAAAGGCCGGGGCCCAACCCCGGGACUGCUCUGGAAACUAUUGACCUUGAGUGCAGGAGAGGUAAGCGGAAUUCCUAGUGUAGCGGUGAAAUGCGUAGAUAUUAGGAGGAACACCAGUGGCGAAGGCGGCUUACUGGACUGUAACUGACGUUGAGGCUCGAAAGCGUGGGGAGCAAACAGGAGUAGAUACCCCGGUAGUC
rnacentral:rRNA from 1 species